UUCAAGUGAUUGAAUUUGGUAAUUUACCUCAUGAACUGUGAAUCCCACUGUGGAUGGAGCAUAUCACUAAAAAUCAACUUACCAAAAGCAAUUCUAACCAUCUAAUUAAUUGCUAUCAAAUGGAUGGUUCAAAGUAAAAUAGUGUGUGGCUCAUAUUUGAAGAGAGAAAAAAUCAAAUGGUUAAACUUAUUUUCUCACUGCACUUUUCACUUAUGCUCCAUACACAAUUGAGUCAAUGAUUUCGGUGGUCCAGAUUGCAUUACAAGUAUGCCACGUUAUAUGUAAUUUCUCACUCGUGUGCCAUAUUUCUAAUCACCAUAUAUAGUACAAACUAUUUUCUUUGAAUUUAAAUUACAAACAUUUAUAAUAGAUGUUUAUGAUAGAUUAUUCUCAUUUUUGGAGUCAAUGAAGUACACUUCUGUAAUAUCAAUCCACUGCGACUGAUAUAUUGAGUAUAUAAUCAUCACAAUGGGAGGAGCUUCAAGGUGGGUUUAAGCAACUAGAUUUGCAGCAUGUGUUCAUAUUUGGCAGUGUCACUUGCAUCCUAAUAUGGGCCACAUAUAAUCAGAAUCCUUCUUGUCCUCAGUGCAAGCAUCUGUUUCAAUUUCUCAGCGUUCAUCGAUCACCAGAUGGAAGGUGCUCCUGUCAAUUUUAGAGAAGUUCUUCUCCAAGUUUCUAAACUUGCCUGAUGUAAAUAGGAGGUUGAGGAAGAUCAUCUCCAUCCUCUCAACUGACCAGCCUCCCUGCCCUCAGCUAUAUAUGUACAGCACAGCUGACAAGGUCAUUCCAGUUAGAUCGGCAGAGUCUUUUAUUCAGGAGCAGAAGAAAUCUGGGAGAAAGGUAUGGUGAAUCAUACCUAGGCCAAAAUGGGACUAACCAAGAUCUGUUUUCUGAAUAGUUCUUUACUUUUUUCAAUUGCAUUAUUAAUAUAGCUACACUUUCUAUUUCUUGUUAUGACUAAUACAUCAAUUUGCAGGUGAAACCAAAUGCAAUGGUUAAGGACACAACUUUCUUGGGGGCAUCGCUCUUCGAUCAUCUCAAACCCGACUUCAAUCCUCUUAUCAUGAAGAGCAAGGUUUGACUCCAAAAAUGAGAGGUAGACUUUAUAUUGUUUGCUUUACUUCACCCUACCUUCAACUG